rnacentral:rRNA from 1 species
GACGAACCGUGCGAACGUUGUUCGGAUUCAUUGGGCUUAAAGGGCGCGUAGGCGGCCGCUCAAGUCGGGGGUGAAAUCUUUCAGCUUAACUGGAAAAUAGCCUCCGAUACUGGGUGGCUGGAGGGAGAUAGGGGUGCGCGGAACUUCCGGUGGAGCGGUGAAAUGCGUAGAUAUCGGAAGGAACGCCGGUGGCGAAAGCGGCGCACUGGAUCUCCACUGACGCUGAGGUGCGAAAGCCAGGGGAGCAAACGGG